GUUUUAAUAGUUUAAUUUUAUAAAACAAUGAUUUUGUAAAUCAUAAAUAGGGAGAUACCUUUAAAACU
rnacentral:tRNA from 1 species